CAGCAGUGGGGAAUAUUGCGCAAUGGGGGCAACCCUGACGCAGCAACGCCGCGUGCGGGAUGACGGCCUUCGGGUUGUAAACCGCUUUCAGCAGGGAAGACAUCGACGGUACCUGCAGAAGAAGCCCCGGCUAACUACGUGCCAGCAGCCGCGGUAACACGUAGGGGGCGAGCGUUAUCCGGAUUCAUUGGGCGUAAAGCGCGCGCAGGCGGCCGCGCAAGCGGGACCUCUAACCCCGGGGCUCAACCCCGGGCCGGGUCCCGAACUGCACGGCUCGCUCCAGGUAGGGGCAGGCGGAAUUCCCGGUGUAGCGGUGGAAUGCGCAGAUAUCGGGAAGAACACCGACGGCGAAGGCAGCCUGCUGGGCCUGUGAGGACGCUGAGGCGCGAAAGCCGGGGGAGCGAACAGGAUUAGA
rnacentral:rRNA from 1 species